rnacentral:rRNA from 1 species
AGAGUUUGAUCCUGGCUCAGGAUGAACGCUGGCGGCGUGCUUAACACAUGCAAGUCGAACGAGCCUUCGGGCUAGUGGCGGACGGGUGAGUAACGCGUGAGAAUCUGCCCUCAGGAGGGGGAUAACGGCUGGAAACGGCCGCUAAUACCCCAUAUGCCGCGAGGUGAAAUGAGAAAUCGCCUGAGGAUGAGCUCGCGUCUGAUUAGCUAGUUGGUGGGGUAAGAGCCUACCAAGGCAUCGAUCAGUAGCUGGUCUGAGAGGAUGAUCAGCCACACUGGGACUGAGACACGGCCCAGACUCCUACGGGAGGCAGCAGUGGGGAAUUUUCCGCAAUGGGCGCAAGCCUGACGGAGCAACGCCGCGUGAGGGAUGAAGGCCUCUGGGCUGUAAACCUCUUUUCUCAAGGAAGAAGAACUGACGGUACUUGAGGAAUAAGCCACGGCUAAUUCCGUGCCAGCAGCCGCGGUAAUACGGGAGUGGCAAGCGUUAUCCGGAAUUAUUGGGCGUAAAGCGUCCGCAGGCGGUCUUGAAAGUCUGUUGUUAAAGCGUGGAGCUCAACUCCAUUUCAGCAAUGGAAACUAGAAGACUAGAGUGUGGUAGGGGCAGAGGGAAUUCCCGGUGUAGCGGUGAAAUGCGUAGAUAUCGGGAAGAACACCAGUGGCGAAGGCGCUCUGCUGGGCCAUAACUGACGCUCAUGGACGAAAGCCAGGGGAGCGAAAGGGAUUAGAUACCCCUGUAGUCCUGGCCGUAAACGAUGAACACUAGGUGUCGGGGGAAUCGACCCCCUCGGUGUCGUAGCCAACGCGUUAAGUGUUCCGCCUGGGGAGUACGCACGCAAGUGUGAAACUCAAAGGAAUUGACGGGGGCCCGCACAAGCGGUGGAGUAUGUGGUUUAAUUCGAUGCAACGCGAAGAACCUUACCAGGGUUUGACAUCCUGCGAAUCUUUUGGAAACAGAAGAGUGCCUUCGGGAGCGCAGAGACAGGUGGUGCAUGGCUGUCGUCAGCUCGUGUCGUGAGAUGUUGGGUUAAGUCCCGCAACGAGCGCAACCCACGUCUUUAGUUGCCAGCAUUGAGUUGGGCACUCUAGAGAGACCGCCGGUGAUAAACCGGAGGAAGGUGUGGAUGACGUCAAGUCAUCAUGCCCCUUACAUCCUGGGCUACACACGUACUACAAUGCUACGGACAGAGGGCAGCAAACUCGCGAGAGCUAGCAAAUCCCAUAAACCGUGGCUCAGUUCAGAUCGUAGGCUGCAACUCGCCUACGUGAAGGAGGAAUCGCUAGUAAUCGCAGGUCAGCAUACUGCGGUGAAUACUUCCCGGGCCUUGUACACACCGCCCGUCACACCAUGGAAGUUGGCCAUGCCCGAAGUCGUUACUCCAACCCUUGUGGAGGAGGACGCCGAAGGUGGGGCUGAUGACUGGGGUGAAGUCGUAACAAGGUA